rnacentral:rRNA from 1 species
AUUGAACGCUGGCGGCAGGCCUAACACAUGCAAGUCGAGCGGAUGAAUGGAGCUUUCUCUUCGCUUCCGCGGCCGACGGGCGAGUAAUUCCUACGUAUCUGCCUUGUCGUGGAGGAUAACGUACGGUCAGGAGCGCUAAGAUCGCAUCCGUCCUUAGGUUGAACGGGGGGGAUCUUCAGACAAAGCGCUAUUAGCUGUGACUUGGUCGGAUUAGCUAGUUGGUUGGGUAAAGGCCUACCAAGGCGACGAUCCGUAACUGGUCUGAGAGGCUGAUCAGUCACACUGGAACUGAGACACGGUCCAGACUCCUACGGGAGGCAGCAGUGGGGAAUAUUGGACAAAGGGCGAAAGCCUGAUGGAGCCAUGCCGCGUGUGUGAAGAAGGUCUUCGGAUUGUAAAGCUCUGUUAGUUGGGAGGAAGGACAGUAAGUGAAUCUCUUGCCGUCUUGACGUUACCAACACAGAAAGCCCCGGCUAACUUCGUG